rnacentral:rRNA from 1 species
UACAGAGGGUGCGAGCGUUGUCCGGAAUCACUGGGCGUAAAGGGCGCGUAGGCGGCGCGGUAAGCGUGUGGUGAAAGUUCGGGGCUCAACUCCGAAUCGGCCAUGCGAACUGCCGUGCUUGAGCACUGUAGAGGCAGAUGGAAUUCCGGGUGUAGCGGUGGGAAUGCGUAGAGAUCCGGAAGAACACCGGUGGCGAAGGCGGUCUGCUGGGCGAGUGGCUGACGCUGAGGCGCGACAGCGUGGGGAGGCAAACAGG